AAUAAGAUGCCUGACAAAAAGGAUUAUUUUGAUAGAAUAAAUCAUGUACUAUUGUACUCUUAUUA
rnacentral:tRNA from 1 species